rnacentral:rRNA from 1 species
UCUUUAUGGGGGUGACUGCGUACCUUUUGUAUAAUGGGUCAGCGACUUAUAUUCUGUAGCAAGGUUAACCGUAUAGGGGAGCCGCAGGGAAACCGAGUCUUAACUGGGCGUUAAGUUGCAGGGUAUAGACCCGAAACCCGGUGAUCUAGCCAUGGGCAGGUUGAAGGUUGGGUAACACUAACUGGAGGACCGAACCGACUAAUGUUGAAAAAUUAGCGGAUGACCUGUGGCUGGGGGUGAAAGGCCAAUCAAACCGGGAGAUAGCUGGUUCUCCCCGAAAGCUAUUUAGGUAGCGCCUCGUGAACUCAUCUUCGGGGGUAGAGCACUGUUUCGGCUAGGGGGCCAUCCCGGCUUACCAACCCGAUGCAAACUGCGAAUACCGAAGAAUGUUAUCACGGGAGACACACGGCGGGUGCUAACGUCCGUCGUGAAGAGGGAAACAACCCAGACCGCCAGCUAAGGUCCCAAAGUCAUGGUUAAGUGGGAAACGAUGUGGGAAGGCACAGACAGCCAGGAUGUUGGCUUAGAAGCAGCCAUCAUUUAAAGAAAGCGUAAUAGCUCACUGGUCGAGUCGGCCUGCGCGGAAGAUGUAACGGGGCUAAACCAUGCACCGAAGCUGCGGCAGCGAC